rnacentral:rRNA from 1 species
UUAGUAAGCAGAGGACCCCAUCAAACUUGGAUUUUGUAAGUAGUUGCGAAUGAACACACAUUUGAUCACUUUGGCAAUUUGUACACAUCACUGUGUAACAAAUUGUAUAUGUUGGCACAGUGCUAUCAAAGCUGCAUGCAAAUGUUUUUUUUNGAAAGGAUACAACAUGGGAUGUGAUAUUCAUGUGUGUGUGCCUGCUUUGUCCACAGCCUGUGCUGUAUGAAUCACAUUUCUUGCAACUGAAAUGCUAAUGGCAUGGUAAAGUUCAUGUGACAUGACACAAGCUUGAGAUUCAUGAUGUGCAAGUACCAUGAGGGAAAUGUGAAAAGGACUUUGGAAAGAGAAUUAAAGAAAGCCUGCACUUGCUGACAAUGAAAGCAAGUGUGGAUGUUCAUGUAAUUGUUACUGCAUCAAUCAAUGUUCAUCAUGGUUACUGCAUGCUUUACAUUACAGCUCAGAGCAUGAAGUGUGUGUAACAGCUCUGCUUUGAUUUUUCCCGCAUGGGAUCAGUUGAAACAUUGUGAGAGCACUCUUCAGUUCCCUUAUGUAUCAACCAGCUUUGUCUGCUCGUGUGUUGGCAUGCAUUUAAUGCUGAUGUGUUUAUGCAAGAUAAUUCUGUGCUCACAAACAUGUUGUGUUAAUCCUCACNNACCCG